rnacentral:rRNA from 1 species
UUUUGUGGUUAUAGCGGCGGGGCAAUACCUGUUCCCAUCCCGAACACAGAAGUUAAGCCCGCUUGCGCCGAAGGUAGUUGGCAAAGCGAAUGCCUGCAAGAAUAGGUAGCUGCAAAGG